UACACACCGCCCGUCACGCCAUGGAAGCUGGGGGGACCUGAAGCCGGUGGGCUAACCGCAAGGAGGCAGCCGUCAAAGGUCAAUCCAGUGACUGGGGCG
rnacentral:rRNA from 1 species